rnacentral:rRNA from 1 species
CCUACGGGGAGCAGCAGUGAGGAAUAUUGGUCAAUGGGCGCGAGCCCGAACCAGCCAAGUCGCGUGAGGGAAGACGGUCCUAUGGAUUGUAAACCUCUUUUGUCGGGGAGCAAAAGACGCCACGCGUGGCGUUCCGAGAGUACCCGAAGAAAAAGCAUCGGCUAACUCCGUGCCCGCAGCCGCGGUAAUACGGAGGAUGCGAGCGUUAUCCGGAUUUAUUGGGUUUAAAGGGUGCGCAGGCGGAAGAUCAAGUCAGCGGUAAAAUUGAGAGGCUCAACCUCUUCGAGCCGUUGAAACUGGUUUUCUUGAGUGAGUGAGAAGUAUGCGGAAUGCGUGGUGUAGCGGUGAAAUGCAGAGAUAUCACGCAGAACUCCGAUUGCGAAGGCAGCAUACCGGCGCUCAACUGACGCUCAUGCACGAAAGUGUGGGUAUCGAACAGGAUUAGAUACCCCUGUAGUC